rnacentral:rRNA from 1 species
GACGAACGCUGGCGGCGUGCUUAACACAUGCAAGUCGAGCGGUAAGGCCCUUUCGGGGGUACACGAGCGGCGAACGGGUGAGUAACACGUGGGUGACCUGCCCUUAGCUCUGGGAUAAGCCUGGGAAACUGGGUCUAAUACCGGAUAUGACUCCAUGACGCAUGUUGUGGGGUGGAAAGCCUUGUGCGGCUAGGGAUGGGCCCGCGGCCUAUCAGCUUGUUGGUGGGGUGAUGGCCACCAAGGCGACGACGGGUAGCCGGCCUGAGAGGGCGACCGGCCACACUGGGACUGAGACACGGCCCAGACUCCUACGGGAGGCAGCAGUGGGGAAUCUUGCGCAAUGGGCGAAAGCCUGACGCAGCGACGCCGCGUGAGGGAUGACGGCCUCGUGUAACU